GCGAGAGUGGCGAAAUUGGCAAACGCACCAGACUUAGGAUCUGGCGGUUCACACCUUGGGGGUUCAAGUCCCCCCUCUCGCACCA
rnacentral:tRNA from 1 species